CUGUUCCACUGGACUUGGUAUACCGAAAGGUUGAUGGAAAAACAGAAUAUGUUUAUGCUCGUGUGAAGGAGCUUUCAAGAUAUUCUUUAGAGGUUCUGUCUGAAGAUUUGCCUGCU